AGCUCGGUGGUCUAGUGGUAAGACACUGCUCUAGCAAUGCAAAAGUCGUGGGUUCGAAUCACACCCGAGUUA